GUGAAAGUGUACGAUCUCUUGUCUCCU
rnacentral:sRNA from 1 species